CCACAUUCCAUUUUACUGUAACUGAAGGAACACUCCUACCAUCAUAACAAUUUUACCUCAUUGAAGUUAUGGGGCAGGAGUGUCACGGCACCAUCUUACUUUCAGGGGGUAUAAAAAUAAAAAAUAUCGAUUUUAGGUUGAUCCUCUGGCAGUUAACACAACUGUCACCCAACUUCCUUCCAAGAAAUUAAAAUGUGAAAGACAUAACUUAUUCUUACAGUGACAUUCUAGGCACCAUAACAACUACUUAAUGAUGAAGUGGUUAUGGUGCCAGGCGUCCCCAGG